UACGUAGGGUGCGAGCGUUAAUCGGAAUUACUGGGCGUAAAGCGUGCGCAGGCGGCUUUGCAAGACAGAUGUGAAAUCCCCGGGCUCAACCUGGGAACUGCAUUUGUGACUGCAAGGCUAGAGUACGGCAGAGGGGGGAGUAGGUAACUUCCGCGUGUAGCAGUAGAAUGCGUAGAUAUGCGGAGACACAGUGACGAGCACUCCCGUGGCUGUACUGACGCUCAUGCAACGAAG
rnacentral:rRNA from 1 species